AGUGGCCGCCUUGGAAAAAGACAAAAAAUCGGCUGCUGUUGUUCGUCGCAGGCCGCGAUUCGCGAAUAAAAUUUAUUAAUUUUUACAAAGAUUUAAUAUUGUGCAAUAUUGUGUCGCGUGUGGCCAGUGGCCAUGGUUGACCCAGGAUGGACGUAGAAUCUACAUUGUAGAUCUUCCGGACGCAUUCGAAUAGAUCUAUCGGAAUCAAGAGCAGCUGCGGCCGCCAGCCAGAUGGAAAAAGCUAACCGUCGCUUCUUUCGUCAUCCUGGGGGUGAACAUCACUCACAAUGAGGUGGGAAAAACCUGCAGCCGAUCAACACAGCACUUCAGCCCGGGCGGAGACAUUUUGGCCGCCUCGGUUAACAAUGCAGUUCUGAUGUUUCCGGAAGCCGGAGGAGCUGAUCGACAAUGUUUAGGAGUUGGCACCGUUGGAUGAAGGGCACCUGAGCUGGAUUGGUCGUUUGCAAGACGACGACUUCUUGUAGCGCUUUCGAAGGAUUUCACGAACACCAACAGCGAGGAUACUACAUGGAAGUAGAAAGCGUUCUGCUGCGAUGAAUGAUCCGGAUGAAACACUGUCCGAUAAAGAAGCAAUAUACCACCUUCGGUACCGUCGGUCAAUUCGAAUCCGGGAUAAAAUCAAGUGAUUGUUAGAAUAACUUUUCGUAAGUAUGUUUGCUAUCAUCAUGCGGUUUUAUGCUGUUUUUGACCAAGUUUCAAUUGUUAUAUGGUUUUUGUUACGGCUUCUUCUUCUUCCUACUGGCUUCAGGUCCCACUGGAACUUGACCUGCAUGCCUUGAACUCAGUGUUCUUUGAGUACUUCCACAGUUAUCAAUUGAAAGACUUUCUUUGCCUGCUAUAGCAUGAAGGUGUAUCAAGUGAGGCAAGCACAGUGAUAAAGUGCCCAGAAAGUCGAGAAAUUUUCGCAACCGAAACGGGAAUUGCACCCGUCGUCACCGGAGGAUUUGCGAUUUAUACUCUUUUAUCUACUAGGCUCACUGGAGACCUUAUUAAUUUUGAAUAAGACUCAUAACUUUCAAGAUUUGAAGUUCUGGUUUAUUUAUUAAUUAAUUUUUAAUAUCAGCACACAUCUUAUCUCUCAUACACCCCCCCCCCCCUUAUGGCCUCUUAUUACUAAAUUGUUUAUCUAUAUUAGGGAGAUUCUCCGUCCGAGGCUGACAAGUAACAGAAUCACCUUUUCAAUUUUAAUUUUAAAGAACUUCUUUCUGGCGUUACGCUUCUACUGCGACAAAUCCUGCUUUUAUGCUUAGUGUUAAUUGAGCACCAAUAUUAUUAACUGAGAGUUUUCUUAGCCAUUGACCAUUUUGCAUUCGUAAAUCGUGCGGCAUGUACUAUAUGAUACUCUAUGCUCAAGAAUAUUAAUUGGAAUGGAAAUAUUCAUUAUUUAAAAAAAAACCAACUAGGGAUAGCACCCCGUCAAAUCACGGUCUUGUUGGAUACCCACUCGCGCUGUUGAUUAUUUGGGCCCUGAUUUUUAAAAACUAUUAUAGAAUAUUUUCUAUACUUUGCAGAAUAUAUCCCAGAUGGCUGGGAAAUUCUGAGAAUCUUUAGGGAUUUUCAGGAAUUAUUUAAGUAUUAGGCCGGAACAAAUAUCAUUUUCUUCUUUUGUCACUUUACUCGUUCACUCGUUAAGGGGGGGAUGAUAAAUAAUAAAUGUUUUUAAUUAAAAAUUACCCAAACAAUUAGGCAAAAUCAUCAAACUCAUCGGAUUUGUUAAGAAAUUUUCUCGACAAAUCUAAUUUCACUAUAGAUUUUUUAUUUUAUUUUUUUUUGAAUAAUUUAUUUUUGUCCCCCCUCAAGAAGUGGAAUUCUGACUUGGAAUUUCUUAAAAUUUUUAAGAAUUUUCACGAAUUAUUUAAAUAUUUUUCCGUGAAGCUAUUCUCUUAUGUAAAUGGUUGA